rfam:Clunio marinus genome assembly, contig: CLTMA_superscaffold_15
UUCAUUGGAGCUUGCAGCCGAGGAUAUUGGCGAUGGCAACACAAAUAUUGCCAACCGAAACGCGCUGGAAUUGUUCCAUUUUGUCACACUAUGGGCUGCUCAAUGCUUUUUCUCUACAUAGUCAAUUAUGGAAAUAUAAGUAAGCAAUUCAAAUUCAA